rnacentral:rRNA from 1 species
GACGAACGCUGGCGGCGUGCUUAACACAUGCAAGUCGAACGGAAAGGCCCUGCUUUUGUGGGGUGCUCGAGUGGCGAACGGGUGAGUAACACGUGAGUAACCUGCCCUUGACUUUGGGAUAACUUCAGGAAACUGGGGCUAAUACCGGAUAGGAGCUCCUGCUGCAUGGUGGGGGUUGGAAAGUUUCGGCGGUUGGGGAUGGACUCGCGGCUUAUCAGCUUGUUGGUGGGGUAGUGGCUUACCAAGGCUUUGACGGGUAGCCGGCCUGAGAGGGUGACCGGCCAAGUCGGGACUGAGAUACGGCCGAGACUCAUACGGGAGGCAGCGGGGGGGAAUAUUGCACAAAGGCCGGAUGGCUGAUGCAGCAACGCCGGGUGCGGAGUGACGGGCUUCGGGUUGAAAACCGCUUGCGCCUGUGACGAAGCGUGUGUGACGGUAAUGGGUAAAGAAGCACCGGCUAACUACG